rnacentral:lncRNA from 10 species
CUGGAUCUGAGUCUAGCCCUUACCACUUAUUAGCUAUGAGAUAUUGAACCUGACCUCUUUAUGUCUUGGCUUCCUUACCUGCACAAUGGCAUAAUAAAAAUUACUUUGUGGAGUCAUUGGGAUCAUUCAAUGAGAGGAUGAUAUAAAGCUUUAUCUUACAAUAAGUUCCCAAUAAGAUGCUUAGAAAUCCCCUUAUAUUAUAACCAUGAUGAAGGCAAUUUCCUCCAUUAAGACAGUGGACCUUACGGGGCUAUAGAGAUUUAGAGAAGAUGGAUGUAUUGGUGGGGUGGAAUAAUCAGGACGGCAUCGUGGAGACCAGAAUCAAGCCACAGGAAGUGUGUCAACAGGGCUUUCUCUCCGGUAGAGUUUGACACAAUGUAUUCUGAGACAUGACUGACUCUGAAAGACAGAGGCCUUCCUGAUUCUUUCUUGUAGUGGUUCUGUUAAUAGUACUUAGCAUAGUGAAUUAAUAAAUAUUGGAUGGAUGGGGGUGGAUGGAUGGAUGGAUGGAUGGAAGGAUGAAUGGAUAAAUGGAUGGGUGGAUGGAUGAAUAGAAAGAUACAGGGAAUAAUAUCCUAGUGAAGAGAAAAAGUAGUGCAAAUGUAUGGAGGUGGGGACCAGAUGAGGCAUGACCAUGUGGCUAAUAAACUUAUGAUGCUUGCAGCAGGGGAAGUAUGCUAGGGAACUUCAGGAAAGUAAAUGCCUAGAUACAAAAAGUAAAUCAAGGCCCUCCAUAAGCUGGGAAGAGAAUUCUUACUGGAUAUGGAAGUCAAUUGGAUGCCUUCUGCUGGAGAACGGCAGAUGAAGAAAGACAUGUUUGGAGAGCUGGUCUGACAACAGUGUGAAAAAAGAACUGGUGGGAAUAGAAAUAAGAGGGGAAAGCCAUUUAGAGUAUGCUACAGGGAAGCAGAGAAUACAGGAAAAAAUAAAUGACUUUGAAGCCAGCAGACUCAGGUUCAAAUCCUUGCUCAGCUGUGUGA